rnacentral:rRNA from 1 species
AUUAAUAGCUAUAGGCUUUAAAUUUGAAGAAUUUGGCGGUGAUUUAAUCUUGUCAGAGGAACCUGCUUUUUAAUCGAUACACCGCGAAAAAUCUUACUUGUCUUAGUUAAGUUUGUAUACCAUCAUUAACAGAUAAUUUUUAAAAAAUAAAUUAUUACAAUUAUAAAAUUUUAAUUAUAACAAAAUUAGAUCAAGGUGCAGCUUAUAGGCAAGUUAAAGUGGGUUACAAUAAAUUUUAUUUAUAACGGACAAUAAGAGUAAGAAUUGUUGGAAGGAGGAUUUGAUUGUAAUGGGAGUGUAAUAUGCCCUAGAGAUAUAAGUUCUAAAUCAU